GACGAACGCUGGCGGCGUGCUUAACACAUGCAAGUCGAACGAUGAACCCGGAGCUUGCUCCGGUGGAUUAGUGGCGAACGGGUGAGUAACACGUGAGUAACCUGCCCUUGACUCUGGGAUAACUGCGGGAAACUGUAGCUAAUACCGGAUACGACCCUCGGCGACAUCGCCAGGGGGUGGAAAGAAUUUCGGUCAAGCAUGGACUCGCGGCCUAUCAGCUAGUUGGUGAGGUAACGGCUCACCAAGGCGACGACGGGUAGCCGGCCUGGGAGGGGGACCGGCCACACUGGGACUGAGACACGGCCCAGACUCCUACGGGAGGCAGCAGUGGGGAAUAUUGCACAAUGGGCGCAAGCCUGAUGCAGCAACGCCGCGUGAGGGAUGACGGCCUUCGGGUUGUAAACCUCUUUUAGUAGGGAAGAAGCGAAAGUGGCGGUACCUGCAGAAAAAGCACCGGCUAACUACGUGCCAGCCGCCGCCGUAA
rnacentral:rRNA from 1 species